rnacentral:rRNA from 1 species
GACGAACGCUGGCGGCGUGCUUAACACAUGCAAGUCGAACGGAAAGGCCCUGCUUUUGUGGGGUGCUCGAGUGGCGAACGGGUGAGUAACACGUGAGUAACCUGCCCUUGACUUUGGGAUAGCUUCAGGAAACCGGGGCUAAUACCGGAUAGGAGCUCCUGCUGCAUGGUGGGGGUUGGAAAGUUUCGGCGGUUGGGGAUGGACUCGCGGCUUAUCAGCUUGUUGGUGGGGUAGUGGCUUACCAAGGCUUUGACGGGUAGCCGGCCUGAGAGGGUGACCGGCCACAUUGGGACUGAGAUACGGCCCAGACUCCUACGGGAGGCAGCAGUGGGGAAUAUUGCACAAUGGGCGGAAGCCUGAUGCAGCAACGCCGCGUGCGGGAUGACGGCCUUCAGGUUGUAAACCGCUUUCGCCUGUGACGAAGCGUGAGUGACGGUAAUGGGUAAAGAAGCACCGGCUAACUACGUG